rnacentral:rRNA from 1 species
UACGAAGGUGGCAAGCGUUGUUCGGAUUUACUGGGCGUACAGGGAGCGUAGGCGGUUGGAUAAGCCCUCCGUGAAAUCUCCAGGCUUAACCUGGAAAGUGCAGAGGGGACUGUUCAGCUAGAGGAUGGGAGAGGAGCGCGGAAUUCCCGGUGUAGCGGUGAAAUGCGUAGAGAUCGGGAGGAAGGCCGGUGGCGAAGGCGGCGCUCUGGAACAUUUCUGACGCUGAAGCUCGAAAGCGUGGGGAGCAAACAGG